CCGGGAGAGGACGCGGCCAGAGAUGGGCUCCUGCCCCUGAACCCCUGCUGGGGUGGAAGCAGGUGCACAAUACUGCUUUGAGUAUCUCCGUGUCUGUGGCUGAUAUCCAGAUGUAAGGCUUCUUCUGGGCAUCCCUGGGAAUGGGAGUGCAUAGACACGCUGGUCAAAUUACAGCACAGCCUCUACACCUUUCUGAAGAUGGAAAACUGUUGUCCAAAGUUUACUUGCCUAACAUGAUGUAACUAUCAUGCAAAAAUAAAAAUAAAAUUAAGAAUAAAAAUUUAAAAAUGAAA